CGACUUCUUUUUUCAUUCCAGCCACCUUAUAUUCAAAGGUGCCGGAUUCGUCCGGCUAUGGCGAUAAACGCGACCGUAAUAAGCCAUUCGGACCCGGGGGCGGUACCCGGCGCCUCCACCAAACCUUUCCCGCGCUUUGCGGCCGGCUUCCGAAGGGAAGCCCCAGAAUGCGACCGGAAUGGGGGCGAACUAGGAUCGACGAGGGUGUAAAGGGUUUAGCUUUUGCCCGGCAUGAUACCACCGUUAUCGGGUCAUUCAGAAUAGUUGCCAAUGACAACUAUGCUGAGGCUGCUCUCGCUGCGUAAUGCGGCGCGAAAUGCCUAAACUCAAGCCCUUACCCCUAGCCGGGUAAGGCGCGGUUCGGAGGGCACCGGGCAACAGAAGCCCUCCACU
rnacentral:tmRNA from 1 species